CAUUAGAAGAAAACAAUACCUUGAACCUAUCUCAUUCAUAUAAUUGUUGGUAAAUAUAGUCAAGAACCAUGAAGAGCCAAUCCCCUUUCGCUCUCACCCUUCUCCUCCUCCCUCCAUUCUUGGCUACCCUCUCUGUAGCACAAGAUUUUGAUUUCUUCUACUUUGUUCUUCAGUGGCCAGGGUCCUAUUGCGACACCGAGAAGAGCUGUUGUUAUCCGUCGACAGGAAAGCCUGCGGCAGACUUUGGCAUUCAUGGGCUUUGGCCUAACUACAAUGAUGGCUCAUAUCCAUCAAACUGUGAUCCUGACAGUCCCUAUGACCAAUCCAAGAUCGAGGACCUGGUGAGAGCAAUGCAAGAGAACUGGCCAACCCUAGCAUGCCCCAGCAGCGACGGCACACAUUUCUGGACACACGAAUGGGAAAAGCACGGCACGUGCUCAGAAUCCAUCCUCGACCAGCACGCCUACUUCCAGUCUGCUCUCAACCUCAAGAAGCAAGUGAACCUCCUUCAGGCCUUGACUGAUGCAGGAGUUAAGCCGGACGGCGGGUUCUACAGUUUGAAUGAGAUCAAGGAUGCAAUCAAUGAAGGGACUGGCUUCACCCCAGGAAUCGAGUGCAAUGUGGAUGGAUCGAAUAACAGCCAGCUCUAUCAGAUAUACUUCUGCGUCGAUACUUCAGGGUCUCAGCUCAUUGAAUGCCCUAUAUAUCCCAGGGGAAGGUGCGGUCCCAGGAUCGAGUUCCCUGCCUUCUAAUUAGGUUCCAUGUUGACGUCGGUCCAUGCGAGUGUUUAAUUAGAUUCCGCUGCUUGUCGAUCCAUUGAAUAAAGGGCCUCACCCACAACUGAUGCAAGUUAGUUGAGAACUAAUCAAAGGUCAGGGAAGGAGACUAUGAUUCAUUAUGUUAGGCAGCAAGAUGGGAGUUAGACAAACAAACUAGAGGAGGGAUGUGCGAUGUGCCACCAUUGCAGUGAUAUUGAAGACCUGAGACUG